rnacentral:rRNA from 1 species
UGGAUAACUGUGGCAAUUCUAGAGCUAAUACAUGCAGUGAGCCUGAAGCCCUUUGGGCGACGGGUGCUUUUAUUAGACCAAGAUCGAUCGGGUUUCGGCCCGUAUUGUGUGGUGACUCUGGAUAACUUUGUGCUGAUCGCAUGGCCACGAGCCGGCGACGUUUCUUUCAAGUGUCUGCCUUAUCAACUUUCGAUGGUAGGUUACUUGCUUACCAUGGUUGUUACGGGUAACGGAGAAUCAGGGUUCGAUUCCGGAGAGGGAGCCUGAGAAACGGCUACCACAUCCAAGGAAGGCAGCAGGCGCGCAAAUUACCCACUCCCGGCACGGGGAGGUAGUGACGAAAAAUAACAAUACGGGACUCUUUUGAGGCCCCGUAAUUGAAAUGAGUACACUCUAAAUCCUUUAACGAGGAUCAAUUGGAGGGCAAGUCUGGUGCCAGCAGCCGCGGUAAUUCCAGCUCCAAUAGCGUAUACUAAAGCUGCUGCGGUUAAAAAGCUCGUAGUUGGAUCUCAGUUCCAGACGAGUAGUGCAUCUACCCGAUGCGACGGCUCGGACUGAACAUCAUGCCGGUCCUUUCUUGGUGCACUUCAUUGUGUGCCUCGAGAAGGCCGGUGCUUUUACUUUGAAAAAAUUAGAGUGCUCAACGCAGGCGAGUCGCCUGAAUAAACUUGCAUGGAAUAAUAGAACAAGACCUCGUUUCUGUUCUGUUGGUUUUUGGAAUACGAGGUAAUGAUUAAGAGGGACAGACGG